rnacentral:rRNA from 1 species
UACGUAGGGACCAAGCGUUGUCCGGAAUCAUUGGGCGUAAAGAGCGUGUAGGCGGCUUGUUAAGUCUUGCGUGAAAUCUCGGGGCUCAACCCCGAGCGGUCGUGAGAAACUGGCAGGCUAGAGUGCGGGAGAGGAGAGUGGAAUUCCUGGUGUAGCGGUGAAAUGCGCAGAUAUCAGGAAGAACACCCGUGGCGAAAGCGGCUCUCUGGAACGGUACUGGACGCUGAGACGCGAAAGCGUGGGGAGCGAACAGG